UCUCCGUAGGUGAACCUGCGGAGGGAUCAUUACUGAGUGAGGGUCUCCGGGCCCGACCUCCAACCCCAUGUGAACCGAAACCUGUUGCUUCGGGGGCGACCCUGCCUUUCGGCGCGGCGCCCCCGGAGGCUCAUCAAACACGGCAUCUCUGCGUCGGAGUCUUAAUGAAUUUAAACAAAACUUUUAACAACGGAUCUCUUGGUUCUGGCAUCGAUGAAGAACGCCAGC
rnacentral:misc_RNA from 1 species